rnacentral:lncRNA from 1 species
CUAAAAAACCACCCUGUAUAUCACUAUCGUUAGUGGACAUUUAGCACCACAAGGGCAAACAUCUUCAGUUUUUCUACUGACCCAGCAAAGUGAAUUAGACUUUUUAGCAGUUAAUCAAGCGAAAAACUGCAUCAAACAGUUCUAGAGUUGAAAUGGCACAAGUUCAAAAAGCAAUUGAGAAGGGAAGUCAAAAACCAGCCUGUACUCUAAGUCAUCCUGAUUUCAAAGGGGCAUUUCAAGCACGCUGAUGAACGCCGUCUUAAUCACCUAGCGCUUGUUUGCAAUCUUCUGGUUCUGGUUCUUCUAGAAGCUAAUCUGCAAUGUGACAAGCCUGGAAAAAUUAAGUUUUCCCAACCAAAUUUUGAAUUGUGUUUAUUGUAAUAUCAGUUUCAAAUCAAAAAGAGUUUUUAUUCUAGAAAUUUCCUGUAUUUGUUGUUAACUGCAGAUUUAAUAGUUGACGAUUAACAAGCAACUCAAUUAGGCACUAAUUUUUCAUUCAUCUAAGUUAUUUAAGUUGUUAAGAGAUGUUUGCAAACCUUAAUAAGGGGCUACUAGACUAGACAAUGGCUGCGUUCCGUUAGUGAAAAAAAUGAAUUUUUGAGAAUGUUAGCAUUAUAAUGAGCAAUAAAAUAUCAAUGUUUUCAUUUGAAGAAUC